rnacentral:rRNA from 1 species
ACACGACUACAUUAGAUACCCGUGUAGUCCUGGCCGUAAACGAUGUGGACUUGGUGUUGGAAUGGCUCCGAGCUGCUCCAGUGCCGAAGGGAAGCUGUUAAGUCCACCGCCUGGGAAGUACGGUCGCAAGACUGAAACUUAGAGGAAUUGGCGGGGGAGCACAACAACGGGUGGAGCUUGCGGUUUAAUUGGAUUCAACGCCGGAAAUCUUACCGGGACCGACAGCAACAUGAAGGCCAAGCUGAAGACUUUGCCGGAUUAGCUG